GGUUUCCUAGCUCCUGUCCUGUCUUUUUCAGUCCCAAAGACACCUGUCGAGAUCCCCAGGAAUUGUGUCUACCAACCUACCUUCCUAUCAGAAGAGGUCUCUGCUACAUCUCCCAGACAGCAGCAUGGGGGAGGAACACAAUUCCAGCAUCUCCCCAUCCAAUGGAGUGGAGCGAAGAGCAGCCACACUCUAUAGCCAGUAUACAUCCAAGAAUGAUGAAAACAGGUCCUUUGAGGGAACGCUUUAUAAAAGAGGGGCUUUGCUGAAAGGUUGGAAGCCCCGUUGGUUUGUUUUGGAUGUAACAAAACAUCAGCUGCGCUACUAUGACUCAGGUGAGGACACAAGCUGUAAAGGCCACAUUGAUCUGGCUGAAGUAGAAAUGGUCAUCCCUGCUGGCCCCAGCA
rnacentral:sRNA from 1 species